GAGCUUUUAGUAUAUUUAGUAUUUUUAAUUGCAAAUUAAAAGGUUUCUAGCUUU
rnacentral:tRNA from 1 species